UCUAUUUUUUGGACCUAGAAUCACCUUAUCGUCUAAAGGAACCGAACUGACAACUCGAGUGAGAUCAGUUCGGUUCUCGGGUCUAUAUCUGUCGGACCGAGUCAGUCAAUCGAUUUAUUUAAAGUUUUGGAGAAAAAAAAGAUGAUACUAAAAAAUAAAUAUAAACGUACACAAUAACACAUUGCUUAAAAUAAUACAAAACCAAUAUCCAACACACAAAAGCCUUCAAUGAGUGCAUUGUAUGACUAUGUGAUUGAGUCUAUAUUUGGUUCUCGGGUCGGGUCGGGUUUCGCCCCAAAAUAGUAUAAAUCCGAGAACCGAACUGCAUUCUACGGAUUUAUAAUUUUUAGACUUGGUAUCAAACCAAUCAAACCGAUCUAAUGAGGUCGGGUUGAUUCGAUUCUCAGGUCGCCUGGUCUUUUGUGCACUCCUACCUGGGCAAAAUGAGAUUCAAUUUUUUCAUUUUUGACUGAAAAACACGUCCAAACGAGGCCUACGACGAAGCGCGUCGAAGGGAUGGGACAGAAGGUGAGGAUCUGUCGUGGGCUACGAACGUAACGGGUCCAAUGGGGCGUGGACUCGUUGGGCUCUUUGCCAGAGCAAUCUUGACCCAACGAGAACAAUAUUGUCACUAACGUGUGGGACCUACUGUAUUAUUGUGUAUAAAAGCAUCAGCAACAGUAUUUUUGGUUUUGUGUUUUUAUGUUAAUUAAAUUCUAUUUAUUUUAACUAUCUUUUUUAUUUAUUUUUUUUAACAAUUUAAAUAGAAAAACUCUUAAAUAGAACAUCAUCUCCCCAUCUGGUAUCUCUUUUAUGUCUUGCUUGGGUAAGUUUUUUGGGUUUUUACUUAAAUGUUUUGGUUCUGAGAAUUUUUGUCUUUUAGUAAGUUUUUUUUUAUCGUUUGAUCAAAAUUUUAUAAUUUUAAGAUUUUUCUUGACAAGAAGAGUCCGAAAAUGUAAAAAAAUUAUCAAAUUUUGAAAAAAGUUUACUAAAGAUAAAAAAAAAUAUAUUUUUAUCCAAAUUUUGUUUCUAAAAGUGACCUUUUUUUUCAUAUUUAAUGAACUUUUUUCUAUUUUCAUAUUUUUAAACUCUUUUCGUCGAGUGAAACCAAAAAAUUUUAAAAUUUUGAUUAACGAUAAAAAAGAUUCAUUAAAAAUAAAAAAAUUCAAAAAACAAAGAAGUUAAAAAAACUUAAAAAUAAUUGAAACCUCAAUGACCCAUCAUCUCCAUCUCUCUUUUAAAAAUUGAGCUAAGAGAGGCUCUAGUGAGAAAAUGGAAUUGAAAGCUAACAAGGGGGCUACUGGACUUGAGGGUUUUGGAUUUUAACUCCUUAAUAUGUCUAAAUGAAGGGUGUGAGGAUGCUAUUGGCGAUGCCCUAGAGAGAAACUUUACAGUCUUCAAAUUUGAAUUAAAAAAAAAUUGAAUUCAAAAUAGGUGGUUCAGAUUUACUUAGUUAUAUGAUUACAUACUAAAGUAAAUUUAAAUUAUUCAUUUUAAAUUUUAAAAAAUUAUCUUAAUCUAAAUUCAAAACCCGUAACACCACUAGUGUAUAAAUUUGUGUGUUUAUAAUUUUUCUCAAAUGAGUUGCAAACGUAGCCGGGGAAGAAGUAUGGCCUCCAAUGUUUGGACGAAAAUGGUUCAAUAAUAUAAAAUGAAUCAUUUUAUAGGUCUUGUUGGCAAUAUUAUUUAGAGGAAAAUGUAAUUUGAUCAGACAUUUGGAACGCAAUCGAAUCGCAUCUCUUAAAGAAAUAGACGAAAAGUAUCUAAUUAAGACAAAUGUGUUUCGAUAGGGUAAUAUUAGUAGACCCUCAUUAGGUCCAUUAUCACACGGAUGGCACGAUGCCCACAAGAAUGGCUCGGACCCAAAUACGGUGCUGACUGCUGAGUCUUCUUUCCACCAACACAUUUCUAAUUUCUAUUGUCCCCCACUAACUUUCCAUUUUUUACGAUUUUACCUAUAUUUUGGGAAUAUAUUUAAAAGUUGCUAUUCAUAAACUUUUCACAAUUAUUUUCCAACCUAAAGAAUAUCUAUUCCUACACAAAUUAGGCCUCGUUUGGGAUUUCACAUUUUUCACCGGCAUUUUAGCUUUUAGGAGCGGAUUGUAUACAUUUGCCUCAUUUGAGAUGAAUUCUUUACUAGGUUUUAUUUUUUCGCUUCAAAUAUAAAGUCCACGUGAUCCACAAAAAGUUUAGGAAGAAUGUAAGAAAUUUAAUUUUUAAACAAAAAUAUAUGCAUUAGAAAUUGGACCCCAAACGGGCACGAACCGAUAUUGUUCCUAUUUUUAGGAAUUGGAAGGUGAAAUUUGUUGUGUUUCAAUCAAGAAUUUGGCAAGAGAACAUGAACGGAUCCAUGGUUAUACUUCUGGGGUGAAGAAACGCACAUAUGUCGUUCCUAGUUACUAUCAAAAAAUAAAUACUAUGUGGAUUUAUACUUUUAAAAAUUAUAAAUUCAAUAUAUUGUCUAAUAAUAUCUUUAUUAAAGCAUUGUGAUCUUUUAUAUAUAUAUAUAGAGAGAGAGGUG
rnacentral:lncRNA from 1 species